AACGAACGCUGGCGGCAGGCCUAACACAUGCAAGUCGAGCGAGGACUUCGGUCCUAGCGGCGGACGGGUGGGUAACGCGUGGGAACGUGCCCGUUACUUCGGAAUAGCCCUCGGAAACUGGAAGUAAUACCGGAUGAGCCCUUUGGGGGAAAGAUCUAUCGGCGAAGGAUCGGCGCGCGUUGGAUUAGGUAGUUGGUGGGGUAAUGGCCUACCAAGCCGACGAUCCAUAGCUGGUUGGAGAGGAUGAUCAGCCACACUGGGACUGAGACACGGACCAGAAUCGUACGGAAGGGAGAAGAAGGGAAUCCUAGAGAAUGAGGGCAACACUGACAUCGCCAUGCCGCGUGAGAGAUGAAGGCCUUAGGGUUGUAAAGCUCUUUGAGACGGGAAGAUAAUGACGGUACAAGCAGAAGAAGCACCGGCUAACUACGUG
rnacentral:rRNA from 1 species